CAUUUUCUUUAAACGUGUUUACUUUGCGGUAUUAUUUACAGAAGAACUGGUGUUAAUAUGUGGGGGGACAAGUUAUCAUUAAAAUUCAAAAUAACAACAACCAACUCAAUACGUAAACAGGGCAUCCAGUUAUAUAUAAGAUCCAUCCGAUCCACAUGAGAACAUGCGAUGGUGGGCGUCUAACGAGAGUUGGGUAACACCUUGUCCAGGAAUAUUUUUGAAAAAUCCAGAUCUGAAAAUUCAUACGAUCGUGUUAUUUAUUGUCCAUUAGUGAAAACGGCUAGCGGUUUUCCAUUAAAAUCCCAAACUUUUAUAUCACCAUCCGCUGCUCCCGUGCAGAAAUAUUCUUCCGAUGGGUCCAAGGACAUGCAUUUUAUAGCACUUUCAUGACCUAUGAAAAUAUAUAUGUAUUAACUGCUUAUCAACGAACCUACGAAAAUAAAUCGUACAUAUUUUUUUAAAUUUUUACCUUGGAA